UACGUAGGGGGCAAGCGUUGUCCGGAUUUAUUGGGCGUAAAGAGCGUGUAGGCGGCUUUGCAAGUCCGUUGUGAAAACUCGAGCUCAACCUCGAGACGCCGGUGGAAACUGCAAAGCUAGAGUCCGGAAGAGGAGAGUGGAAUUCCCUGGUGUAGCGGUGAAAUGCGCAGAUAUCAGGAAGAACACCCGUGGCGAAGGCGGCUCUCUGGGACGGUACUGACGCUGAGGCGCGAAAGCUAGGGGAGCAAACAGG
rnacentral:rRNA from 1 species